AGCGAACGCUGGCGGCAGGCCUAACACAUGCAAGUCGAACGGACCCUUCGGGGUUAGUGGCGGACGGGGGAGUAACACGUGGGAACGUGCCUUUAGGUUCGGAAUAGCUCCUGGAAACGGGUGGUAAUGCCGAAUGUGCCCCUCGGGGGAAAGAUUUAUCGCCUUUAGAGCGGCCCGCGUCUGAUUAGCUAGUUGGUGGUGUAACGGACCACCAAGGCGACGAUCAGUAGAUGGUAUGAGAGGAUGAUCAGCCACAUUGGGACUGAGACACGGCCCAAACUCCUACGGGAGGCAGCAGUGGGGAAUCUUGCGCAAUGGGCGAAAGCCUGACGCAGCCAUGCCGCGUGAAUGAUGAAGGUCUUAGGAUUGUAAAAUUCUUUCACCGGGGACGAUAAUGACGGUACCCGGAGAAGAAGCCCCGGCUAACUUCGUGCCAGCAGCCGCCGUAA
rnacentral:rRNA from 1 species